rnacentral:lncRNA from 1 species
GUCUUCUAUCCCUUCAGUGGUGGGGAAGGACACUGAGAGGAUCAAAAAAACCCUUCUCAUAAGUAAAUGGCUUAGAGGUUGGUGCAGGCACAAGAAUUUUGUUUUUUUUCACCAUGGGGCAAUUUACUCGGCUCCUGGCAUGACGGCUGCAGAUGGAGCUCACCUGUCUGCAAGGGGUAAAAGGAUCCUAGCCCAGGAGCUGGUGGGGCUCAUUGAAAGGUCUUUAAACUAGGUAGGAAGGGGGAAGGGGACAAAAUGAGGGCUGCUGAGGUUGUGCGGGUAGUUCGAGGUUCAAAAGAUAACUUGAUAGGUGAUGAGGGUGGAGUUCGAAGGGAUGGAGAGUGGCAGGGGAAUGCUGCUUCCCUUAAGUGUCUGUACACUAAUGCAUGCAGUAUGGGAAAUAAACAGGAAGAGUUGGAGAUCUGCGUGCAGUCACACGGCCACAAUCUCAUUGCGAUCACGGAGACGUGGUGGGACAGCUCGCAUGACUGGAAUGCUGUCAUGGAGGGCUAUGUGCUUUUUAGGAAAGAUCGGAUGGUGAGGCGGGGUGGUGGAGUUGCUCUUGAACUCCACCUAGGGGAGAGUGGUGUAGCAGUGGAGAGCUUGUGGGUGAGAAUCAAGGGGCGGGCUGGUAUGGCUGACACUGUUGUGGGAGUGUAUUACAGACCCCCUGAUCAGGAGGAGGAGGUUGUUGAGGCCUUCCAUAAGCAACUGGAAGCAGCGUCACGAUCCCGGGCACUGGUGCUUAUGGGGGACUUCAAUUAUCCAGAUAUUUGCUGGAUAAGCAAUGUGGCCAGGCACAUGCAGUCCAGGCGGUUCCUGCAAUGUGCUGAGGACAACUUUCUGAUGCAGGUGGUUGAGGAACCGACAAGGGGAGGGUUGUUGCUGGACCUUAUUCUCACUAAUAGAGAAGGGCUUGUCCGGGAAGUAAAAGUCGAGGGUAGCUUGGGUUGUAGUGACCAUGAGAUGGUGGAGUUCAAGAUCCUGAGCGGAAGAACUAAAGCAAAAAGUAGGAUUGCUACCCUGGACUUUAGGAGAACCAACUUUGAUCUCUUCCGGGACCUACUUGGAGCUAUCCCAUGGGCUAGGGUGUUAGGAGGUAAGGGGGCCUGUGAGAGCUGGUCGACAUUUAAACAGCUCUUCUUCCAAGCUCAGGAUUGGUGCGUCCCUGUGAGGAAGAAAUCGGGAAAGGGUGGCAGGAGACCUGUGUGGAUGAGCAAGGAGCUCAUGCGCAAGCUCAAAGGAAAGAAGAAGGCCCAUGAAAUGUGGAAAAAGGGUCUGACCACUUGGGAAGAAUAUAGAAAUGUUGUCGGGGCCUGCAGGGAUGCGACAAGGAAGGCUAAAGCCCGCCUGGAAUUGAAC